rnacentral:rRNA from 1 species
CCUCAGUAACGGCGAGUGAAGCGGUAACAGCUCAAAUUUGAAAUCUGGCUCCUACGGAGUCCGAGUUGUAAUUUGUAGAAGAUGCUUUGGGAGGUAGGGCCGGCCUAAGUUCCUUGGAACAGGACAUCAGAGAGGGUGAGAAUCCCGUAUGUGGCCGUGGCCUACGCCCGUGUAAAGCUCUUUCGACGAGUCGAGUUGUUUGGGAAUGCAGCUCAAAAUGGGUGGUAAAUUUCAUCUAAAGCUAAAUAUUGGCCAGAGACCGAUAGCGCACAAGUAGAGUGAUCGAAAGAUGAAAAGCACUUUGGAAAGAGAGUUAAACAGUACGUGAAAUUGUUGAAAGGGAAGCGCUUGCAACCAGACUUGGGUGUCGUGGAUCAUCCGAGGUUCUCCUCGGUGCACUCGACGAUGCGCAGGCCAGCAUCGGUUUGGGUGGUUGGAGAAAGGCUCUAGGAACGUAGCUCUCUUCGGGGAGUGUUAUAGCCUAGGGCGCAAUGCAGCCCAUCCGGACCGAGGACCGCGCCUUCGGGCUAGGAUGCUGGCGUAAUGGUUGUAAG